CAGAGCUACCUUGAAGUAGGCUUGGAGGGGUUGUGGCAACAAGGCGUUGUAUAGGAGCGACGUCGCCAGAAGAAUCAGCGCGUACGAAUUUGCGUGUAGAGCCUGUGAUGUCGUCUUCGGUGAUGCAUUUUACAUGCAAAGUGUGCCACGGCCAUGGUUGCGUGACAGAUCGAACCCGAUGGAGGUAUACGACGAUGAUGAGUUCAUCACGCGCUAUCGAUUCACGAAGCAAACAGUUCGUGAGCUGUUGGCCUUUCUACCACUUGAGGCGAGCGGCAACAAUCGAGGACUGCCGCUGACACCUAUGCUACAGCUGCUUGUGGCACUGAGAUUUUACGGCGCCGGAACCUUUCAAAUUGUGAGCGAAGACUUGGUCAAUGUGUCCCAGCCCACGGUAUGUCGCACGGUGAAAAAAGUGACGCGCCUCAUUGUCAGGCACCUGUUUUGAGCAGUUGUCCGCUUCCCGGAUGCCUCGCAGUUGUCAGGUGUGAUGCGGGACUUCUAUGAGAUCGCCCACUUCCCCGGGGUGACCGUCUGCAUCGACGGCACACAUGUGCGCAUAAGGAGUCCCAGACGUGAUGACGCAGAGGUUUACCGCAAUCGCAAAGGAGUGUUUUCUGUUAACGUUCAGGCGGUUGCGGGACCAAUGCUGCAGUUUUUCAAUGUUGUAGCGAGCUGGCCGGGGUAUGGCCAUGACAGUCGCAUAGACGACAAUCCUCGUGUACGUGUUAUGUACGAACAGCAGCGUGUGCCUGGUCUGCUGCUUGGAGACAUGGGCUACGCCUGCUCUCCUUUCCUGAUGACCCCACUUCAUGAGCCAGGUCCAGUCAACUCACCAGAAGGCAGGUACGACAAGGCGCACAUCAAGACCCGCAACUCCAUAGACAGGGCCUUUGGAGUGGGGAAAAGGCGCUUCUCCUGCUUAGACAUGAAGCUUCAACACAAGCCUCAAAAUGCAGCUCGCAUAAUUACAGCUUGUGCUGCCCUGCACAACGUGGCCCUCCUGCGACGAGAACCUGAGCCGAUUGGUCUCCAUGUUUCCACCAGCAGAUGCCGACGGACCGGAAGAAAUACCUGCCAAGAGCACCUGCCAUCUGUUAAUGGUGUGGGGGACAAUAUACCUGGCAUGCGUGCGCGUCAACUUCUAAUCCAGAGGAGUUUAUCGUAA